rnacentral:misc_RNA from 1 species
AACGCACCUUGCGCUCCUUGGUAUUCCGAGGAGCAUGCCUGUUUGAGUGUCAUUUAAUUCUCAACCUUAUUAGCUUUUGCUGAUAAUGGCUUGGAUGUGGGGGUUCUCUUUUGCUGGCUUCUUUUCACAGAGGUCAGCUCCCCUGAAAUGCAUUAGCUGGUGCCCCGCGUGGACUGUCUAUUUGGUGUGAUAAUUAUCAACGCCGUGGAUGUCUGCAAUUGGUUUUUGGCACUGCUUCUAACUGUCUGUUCAUUUGGACAACACAUGACAAUUUGACCUCAAAUCAGGUAGGACUACCCGCUGAACUUAA